rnacentral:rRNA from 1 species
GACGAACGCUGGCGGCGUGCUUAACACAUGCAAGUCGAACGGAAAGGCCCUGCUUUUGUGGGGUGCUCGAGUGGCGAACGGGUGAGUAACACGUGAGUAACCUGCCCUUGACUUUGGGAUAACUUCAGGAAACUGGGGCUAAUACCGGAUAGGAGCUCCUGCUGCAUGGUGGGGGUUGGAAAGUUUCGGCGGUUGGGGAUGGACUCGCGGCUUAUCAGCUUGUUGGUGGGGUAGUGGCUUACCAAGGCUUUGACGGGUAGCCGGCCUGAGAGGGUGACCGGCCACAUUGGGACUGAGAUACGGCCCAGACUCCUACGGGAGGCAGCAGUGGGGAAUAUUGAACAAUGGGCGGAAGCAUGAUGCAGCAACGCCGCGUGCGGGAGGACGGCCUUCGGGUGGUAAACCGCUUUCGCCUGUGACGAAGCGUGAGUGACGGUAAUGGGUAAAGAAGCACCGGCUAACUACGU